rnacentral:rRNA from 1 species
AGUGAACGCUGGCGGUAUGCCUAACACAUGCAAGUCGAACGGCAGCACAGUAAGCUCUUGCUCUUACGGUUGGCGACUGGCGGACGGGUGACACAUGCAUCGCAAUCUUCUUUUUCUUGGGGGAUAACGUAGGGAAACUUACACUACUACCUCAUACGACCUACGGGUGGAAUCAGUGGAUCUUCGGACCUUUCGCGAUUGAAUGAGCCGAUGUCGGAUUAGCUAGUUGGCUGGGUAAAGGCACACCAAGGCGACGAUCCGUAGCUGGUCUGAGAGGAUGAUCAGCCACACUGGAACUGAGACACGGUCCAGACUCCUACGGGAGGCAGCAGUGGGGAAUAUUGGACAAUGGGCGAAAGCCUGACGCAGCCAUACCGCGUGAGUGAAGAAGGUCUUCGGGUUGUAAAGCCCUUUUAUUGGGAAAGAAAAGCAGUAGGUUAAUCCACCCAUGUUUUGACGGUACCCAAUGAAUAAGCACCGGCUAACUUCGUG